rnacentral:rRNA from 1 species
AGCUCCAAAAGUGUAUGCUAAAGUUGUUGCGGUUGAAAAGCUCGUAGUUGGAUAUUGGGCGAGCGCGGUCGGUCCGUCGCAGGGCGUGUACUGGUCGCGUUCGUCUCGAGCUUCGGUUCUCCGUCGGUGCUCUUGACUGAGUGUCGGCGGUGGCCGAGAAGUUUACUUUGAAAAAAUUAGAGUGUUCAAAGCAGGCUGGUCGCCUGAAUAGUGUUGCAUGGAAUAAUGGAAUAGGACCUCGGUUCUAUUUUGUUGGUUUUCGGAACGGAGGUAAUGAUUAAGAGGGACAGACGGGGGUGUCCGUACUCUGCCGUUAGAGGUGAAAUUCUUGGAUCGGCGGAAGACGAACUACUGCGAAAGCAUUCACCAAGAAUGUUUUCU